CAACACUCAAGCUCAGCUUGGUCUUGGGUCCAGCGGGAAACCGCAGGCCUUAAAAUCAGUGGCGGCGCCAUCUGGCUCUAAGCGUAGUAAUACUCCUCGCUCUUGAGUCCCGGUGGAUGCUGGCCAGCAACCCCCAACUUUCUUA
rnacentral:misc_RNA from 1 species